UUACGGGAGGCAGCAGUAGGGAAUAUUGGUCAAUGGGUGAAAGCCUGAACCAGCCAUGCCGCGUGCAGGAAGACGGCCUUCUGGGUUGUAAACUGCUUUUGUCAGGGGAUAAAAUACCCGUGCGCGGGGAAUUGAAGGUACCUGAUGAAUAAGCCACGGCUAACUACGUGCCAGCAGCCGCGGUAAUACGUAGGUGGCAAGCGUUGUCCGGAUUUAUUGGGUUUAAAGGGUGCGUAGGCGGCUUUGUAAGUCAGUGGUGAAAGACGGCAGCUCAACUGUCGAGGUGCCAUUGAUACUGCAGAGCUAGAGUACUGAUGAGGUAGGCGGAAUGGACGGUGUAGCGGUGAAAUGCUUAGAUAUCGUCCAGAACACCGAUAGCGAAGGCAGCUUACUAAGGAGUAACUGACGCUGAGGCACGAAAGUGUGGGGAUCAAACAGGAUUAGAUACCCCGGUAGG
rnacentral:rRNA from 1 species